AUCUACGGCCAUACCAGCCUGAACACACCCUAUCUCGUCUGAUCUCGGAAGCUAAGAAGGGUUGAGCCUGGUUAGUACAUGGAUGGGAGAUCGCCUGGGAAUCCUGGGUGCUGUAGGAU
ensembl:rRNA 5S_rRNA 5S ribosomal RNA